CCUACGGGUGGCAGCAGUGGGGAAUAUUGCACAAUGGGGGAAACCCUGAUGCAGCGACGCCGCGUGAGUGAAGAAGUAUCUCGGUAUGUAAAGCUCUAUCAGCAGGGAAGAAAAUGACGGUACCUGAUUAAGAAGCCCCGGCUAACUACGUGCCAGCAGCCGCGGUAAUACGGAGGGGGCAAGCGUUAUCCGGAUUUACUGGGUGUAAAGGGAGCGUAGACGGGAGCACAAGUCUGGAGUGAAAUGCCGGGGCUUAACCCCGGAACUGCUGUUGAAACUGUGCAGCUAGAGUGCAGGAGAGGUAAGUGGAAUGCCUGGUGUAGCGGUGAAAUGCGUAGAUAUUAGGAAGAACACCAGUGGCGAAGGCGGCUUACUGGACUGUAACUGACGUUGAGGCUCGAAAGCGUGGGGAGCGAACAGGAUUAGAUACCCGGGUAGUC
rnacentral:rRNA from 1 species